rnacentral:misc_RNA from 1 species
AGCUAAAGCAGUCAGCAACCCUAUA